rnacentral:lncRNA from 1 species
CUAUUACUUGCUUAUAUAUCUCGGGAAUUAUUUUAUGCACAUUUAUCAACUGGUACUUAGGUUUAAAGUUGGCAUUUUCUUUUUAAGUUGGAAUUUUCACAUCCACAGAAGGGAGACUUAACUACAUAAUUUUCAGUAUACUUUGAUAUCCUGCCUUUUAAACAAUAACCAACAUUUUGAGUUGGGAAAUACAUAAUUACUUCUGGGGGAAGAAAUGGAACUUUUAACAUUUAAAGUUCAUUGUUUUAAAUGUUAAUUCCAUCCCCAACAUUUUUGUGUUACGUGAGGCUUUAUGAAAGU